rnacentral:rRNA from 1 species
UGAAGAAUAUUGGGCAAUGGGCGAAAGCCUGACCCAGCAACGCCGCGUGAAGGAAGAAGGUUUUCGGAUUGUAAACUUCUGUCCCAUGGGACGAAAAAAAUGACGGUACCAUGGGAGGAAGCCCCGGCUAACUACGUGCCAGCAGCCGCGGUAAUACGUAGGGGGCAAGCGUUGUCCGGAAUUAUUGGGCGUAAAGGGUGCGUAGGCGGCCUUUCAAGUUGGAUGUGAAAUCCCCAUGCUUAACAUGGGAAUUGCAUGCAAAACUGGAGGGCUUGAGUGUGGAAGAGGUAAGUGGAAUUCCCAGUGUAGCGGUGAAAUGCGUAGAUAUUGGGAGGAACACCAGUGGCGAAGGCGACUUACUGGGCCACAACUGACGCUGAGGCACGAAAGCGUGGGGAGCAAACA